AGCAGCAUGGCGCAGUGGUAGCGCGCGGGGCCCAUAUCAAGUAUUGGUCUUUGGUACCCCGAGGUCACUUGAUCGAAACAAGUUGCUGCUA